rnacentral:lncRNA from 1 species
UGCUCAACAGGAAAAGAAAAAUGAUACAAUAAAUAUCAGAGAUCAUGUAUACAUCAAACCAAUAAAAUUAUUUUUAUUCCACCAAAAUCGAAUGGCCGUAAUGUAGCAACAAAUAACAUAACAUGCAAGCUUGACUUGAAUUUGACCUAAAAUGUUGGACCUUAUAAAUAUAAUAUAAAUUAUAUAAUUUUUAUAUUAUAUUUAUUUACCAACAAUUUUAAUCAAAAAUAAAAUGGACUAUGCUCU